AAAGAAAGGGAUUCGA
rnacentral:tRNA from 1 species